rnacentral:rRNA from 1 species
UACGUAGGGUGCAAGCGUUAAUCGGAAUUACUGGGCGUAAAGCGUGCGCAGGCGGUGAUGUAAGACAGAUGUGAAAUCCCUGGGCUCAACCCAGGAACUGCGUCCGAUACUGGUUGGCUUGAAUCCGGGAGAGGGAUGUGGAAUUCCAGGUGUAGCGGUGAAAUGCGUAGAUAUCUGGAGGAACACCGGUGGCGAAGGCGACAUCCUGGACCGGCAUUGACGCUGAGGCGCGAAAGCCAGGGGAGCAAACGGG